rnacentral:rRNA from 1 species
GACGAACGCUGGCGGCGUGCUUAACACAUGCAAGUCGAACGGAAAGGCCCUGCUUUUGUGGGGUGCUCGAGUGGCGAACGGGUGAGUAACACGUGAGUAACCUGCCCUUGACUUUGGGAUAACUUCAGGAAACUGGGGCUAAUACCGGAUAGGAGCUCCUGCUGCAUGGUGGGGGUUGGAAAGUUUCGGCGGUUGGGGAUGGACUCGCGGCUUAUCAGCUUGUUGGUGGGGUAGUGGCUUACCAAGGCUUUGACGGGUAGCCGGCCUGAGAGGGUGACCGGCCACAUUGGGACUGCGAUACGGCCCAGACUCCUACGGGAGGCAGCAGUGGGGAAUAUUGCACAAUGGGCGGAAGCCUGAUGCAGCAACGCCGCGUGCGGGAUGACGGCCUUCGGGUUGUAAACCGCUUUAGCCUGUGACGAAGCGUGAGUGACGGUAAUGGGUAAAGAAGCACCGGCUAACUACGUG